rnacentral:rRNA from 1 species
CGCUGGCGGCGUGCCUAAUACAUGCAAGUCGAACGGUCUUUCUAUGGAAGCUUGCUUCCACUGAAAGAUAGUGGCGAACGGGUGAGUAACACGUGGGUAACCUGCCCAUAAGAGGGGGAUAACAUCCGGAAACGGGUGCUAAUACCGCAUAGUUUUCUUGAUCGCAUGAUCGGGAAAGGAAAGACGGCCUUUGUGCUGUCGCUUAUGGAUGGACCCGCGGCGUAUUAGUUAGUUGGUGAGGUAACGGCUCACCAAGACGAUGAUACGUAGCCGACCUGAGAGGGUGAUCGGCCACAUUGGGACUGAGACACGGCCCAAACUCCUACGGGAGGCAGCAGUAGGGAAUCUUCCGCAAUGGACGAAAGUCUGACGGAGCAACGCCGCGUGAGUGAAAGAAGGUUUUCGGAUCGUAAAACUCUGUUGUCAGAGAAGAACAAGUUGGAGAGUAACUGCUCCAGCCUUGACGGUAUCUGACCAGAAAGCCACGGCUAACUACGUGCCAGCCGCCGC